GAUGAACGCUAGCUACAGGCUUAACACAUGCAAGUCGAGGGGCAGCAUGAACUUAGCUUGCUAAGUUUGAUGGCGACCGGCGCACGGGUGAGUAACGCGUAUCCAACCUGCCCUUGUCCAUCGGAUAACCCGUCGAAAGGCGGACUAACACGGUAUGCAGUCCACAGCAGGCAUCUAACGUGGACGAAAUGUGAAGGAGAAGGAUGGGGAUGCGUCUGAUUAGCUUGUUGGCGGGGUAACGGCCCACCAAGGCGACGAUCAGUAGGGGUUCUGAGAGGAAGGUCCCCCACAUUGGAACUGAGACACGGUCCAAACUCCUACGUGAGGCAGCAGUGAGGAAUAUUGGUCAAUGGACGGAAGUCUGCACCAGCCAAGUAGCGUGCAGGAUGACGGCCCUAUGGGUUGUAAACUGCUUUUAUAUGGGGAUAAAGUGAGUCACGUGUGGCUUAUUGCAGGUACCAUAUGAAUAAGGACCGGCUAAUUCCGUGCCAGCCGCCGCGGUAA
rnacentral:rRNA from 1 species